AUUUCCUGACCCUGGCUCAGCCCAGAUGCAGGGGCCUCUCUUCAGGCCUCACCUGACAAGCUCUUGUUUCCUCCUGUGUGUGGCGCCAGUUUGUCAAUGUCUGCGGAGUUUCUGUAGGAGUUGGUUUGUCUUCGGCAUGUGACACCUUGAUGUCUCAGAGCUUCGGCAGCCCCAACAAGAAGCACGUGGGCGUGAUCCUGCAGCGCGGCGCGCUGGUCCUGCUCCUCUGCUGCCUCCCUUGCUGGGCGCUCUUCCUCAACACCCAGCACAUCCUGCUGCUCUUCCGGCAGGACCCGGACGUGUCCAGGUUGACCCAGGACUAUGUAAUGAUUUUCAUUCCAGGACUUCCGGUGAUUUUUCUUUACAAUCUGCUGGCAAAAUAUUUGCAAAAUCAGCAGGGCCAGUUUUCAUUUAUUUCAGAAGAUCACCUGGCCCCAAGUCCUCAGUGGUGUGGUGGGCAACUGUGUCAACGGUGUGGCCAACUAUGCCCUGGUUUCUGUGCUGAACCUGGGGGUCAGGGGCUCCGCCUAUGCCAACAUCAUCUCCCAGUUUGCACAGACCGUCUUCCUCCUUCUCUACAUUGUGCUGAAGAAGCUGCACCUGGAGACGUGGGCAGGUUGGUCCAGCCAGUGCCUGCAGGACUGGGGCCCCUUCUUCUCCCUGGCUGUCCCCAGCAUGCUCAUGAUCUGUGUUGAGUGGUGGGCCUAUGAGAUCGGGAGCUUCCUCAUGGGGCUGCUCAGCGUGGUGGAUCUCUCUGCCCAGGCUGUCAUCUACGAGGUGGCCACUGUGACCUACAUGAUUCCCUUGGGGCUCAGCCUCGGGGUCUGUGUCCGAGUGGGGAUGGCUCUGGGAGCUGCGGAUACUGUGCAGGCCAAGCGCUCGGCCGUCUCGGGCGUGCUCAGCAUAGUUGGCAUUUCCCUGGUCCUGGGCACCCUGAUAAGCAUCCUGAAAAAUCAGCUGGGGCA
rnacentral:sRNA from 1 species